CCGCUUCGCUCAGCGCUAUUAUUUCCUCACAGUCAGUGAAUGGAGGCCGUGGUUUGGAAGUCGCAAUUUCUGUUUAGAAAAUAACAGGCGUUUGUGUAAAACGAUCGGCACAUUUCGUACGGAGGAGCUUUAAAACUAGAGUGGUGUGCGUCAGGGCUUGAGGCUGUAGGUGUGAGCGUGGCAGCUGAGGCUGCUGUUCAUCUGCCCCUCUCCUCCCAUUCAGGUUUGUUGGGAGCCAGGGAUUUUUUUUGUUGUUGUUCGUCUGAAAGCAUUCCCAGCGGAUCGCGGUGGGGUUGAGGCCUACUGCAAAGCAUUCACAUGAAUCUCCUCGGAUAAGAGAGAGGGGAAGCGCCAGCAACAGUCACGAAUUCCUGGAAAAUGUCGGAUGGCCAGGAUCUAACAACAGCCCCGUCGCAGCCGCUCGAUAGGAGUUGUUGGGUGUGUUUUGCCACAGAUGAAGAUGAUCGGACAGCAGAAUGGGUGAGACCCUGCAAGUGCAGGGGCUCCACUAAAUGGGUUCAUCAAGCUUGUCUACAACGAUGGGUAGAUGAGAAGCAAAGGGGCAACAGUACAGCCAGAGUGGCAUGUCCACAGUGCAAUGCUGAAUAUUUAAUUGUCUUUACAAAACUAGGUCCUGUUGUUUAUGUAUUGGAUCUUGCAGACCGUCUAAUCUCAAAAGCAUGCCCAUUUGCAGCAGCUGGAAUCAUGGUGGGUUCUAUCUACUGGACUGCAGUCACCUACGGAGCUGUGACUGUUAUGCAGGUUGUAGGACAUAAAGAAGGUCUAGAUGUCAUGGAGAGAGCUGACCCACUAUUCCUCUUAAUUGGACUUCCAACCAUUCCAGUUAUGCUUAUUUUGGGCAAGAUGAUUCGUUGGGAAGACUACGUUCUGAGACUCUGGCGAAAAUACUCCAAUAAGUUGCAGAUUUUAAAUAGUAUAUUUCCAGGAAUAGGUUGUCCAGUUCCUCGUGUUCCAGCUGAGGCCAGCCCCUUAGCGGACCAUGUGUCAGCUACUCGCAUUCUUUGUGGUGCUUUGGUUUUUCCUACAAUUGCUACGAUAGUUGGUAAAUUAAUGUUCAGCAGUGUCAACUCAAAUUUGCAAAGGACAAUUUUGGGUGGUAUUGCCUUUGUAGCUAUCAAAGGGGCUUUUAAAGUGUACUUCAAGCAGCAACAGUAUUUGCGUCAGGCCCACCGCAAGAUAUUAAAUUUUCCAGAAGAGGAAGCAUGAGAUGUCUGACUGAAGUGCUGUCCUGUUCCACAAGCUCACCAAGAAUUUUCAGAACCACUGAAUGCUGAGAAGUCCAGCAAGCCUUCACCUCCCUCUCCCACCUCCUCAACUCAAUGUGAGCCCAGGAAAGAAUGGGAUCUCUGGCUCUGUCUGACACUCAACUGAACAAGAAGGUGCAAAAGAAUAAAGGUGUUCUGGAAUGUGUCCAUACAGUUCCACUGAAUUGUGAACAACUUUGCAAAAUUGCACCAGUAACUGAAGAAAGCAAGAAAGAUAAAUAUUAGAAGUAAGUUCCGUUGCCUUGUAGAGCAAAAUAGUGCAACUGUUGAAAUCCUGAAUGAAAUGAAAACAGAAACUGCUGCAAAAGUUUGUAUUUUUUUAUUAUUGGGAUACAGCGCGGAAUUGGCCCUUCGAACCAGGCAACCCCCAACUUAACCCUAGCCUAAUCACGGGACAAUUUACAACAGGUAUGUCUUUGGAAUGUGGGAGGAAACUAGAGCACCUGGAGGAAACCCACGCGGUCACUGAAGAAUGUACAAACUCCUUACAGGCAGUGGCAGGAAUUGAACCCUGGUUGCCUGCACUUUAAAGCAUUGUGCUAACCAUUAUGCUACCGCGCUGCCCCAAUGACAUCUCAUUUAAUCUGCAAGAAGUCAGAUCAAAAGAAAGGCAGCCUUACUGUUUUAAAUUCACUAAUAUAAUCCAACAUGUAAGCACUUUAAAAACAGUAAAUGUCUGAGUAUAUUUCUGCAGGUCAGACCACUUUCUAACGCCCCAGAGUCCACUGCACAAGGAAGGUAUCUUCAAAACUUCUUUUGAUCAUUAUUUUGAAAACCGUUCUAAGCGAAUGUUUAUUAUGUCAAACUUUUCCAUCUUCAUGCAUAUUACAUAAGCAAAUGAAACAUGAUCCAUUGUCACUCUAGAAUCAAACUGAAUUACUAAUCAGCUUUCUACAUUAUUGGAUAGAUUUCUUUUGUUUCAAUCAUCUUUAACUGGUUCUAAACUUGGCCAGUAGAAUGUCUACCUUCUGUGUUCACUCAGCUUAUUAUUUCUAUUAAAUAUUUUUUAUAAUUUAAGUAUAGUCAAAUUAAUUCAAAAUCUCUAGAAUAGUGUUUACUUUGCACAGUUGUCACUGACUUCAUUAAAUCCUGUGUGGUUAAGUGUAUGCCUACUAUGUCAGGGUGCUGUUAUUGACAAUAGCUCAGCAUUUAACACCAUGAUUCCUACAGCCCUGAACGAAAAGCUCCAAAACCUAGGCCUCUGUACAUCUCUCUGCAGCUGGAUCCCUAACUUCCUAACCGGAAAACCACAAUCUGUGCGGAUUGGAAAUAACAUCUCCACCUCUCUGACAAUCAACACUGGUGCACCUCAGGGAUGUGUGCUUAGCCCACUGCUCUACUCUCUCUUCACCCAUGACUGUGAGGCUAUGCAUAGCUCAAAUGCCAUCUAUAAAUAUGCUGAAUUGUCUGCAGGAUUUCAGAUGGUGAUGAAAGGCAGGACAGGAGCGAGUUAUACCAGUUAGUUGAGUGGUGUCGCAGCAACAACCUUACACUCAACAUCAGCAAGACCAAAGUGCUGAUUGUGGACUUUAGGAAGGGUAAGACGAGGGAACACACACCAAUCCCUAUAGAGGGAUCGGAUGUGGAGAGAGAGAGAGUGAGCAAUUUUAAGUCCCUGGCUAUCAAUAUCUCUGAAGAACUAACCUGGACACAUUAUAUUGAUGCAGUUAUAAAGAAGGCAAGACAGCAGCUAUAUUUCAUUAGGAGUUUGAGGAGAUUUGGUUUGUCAACUAAAACAUUCAAAAACUACUAAUGUACUGUGGAGAGCAUUCUGUCUGCAUCACUGGUGGGAAACUACUGCGCAGGAGAUUUAAUAGACAUAUAUAUACUUGCCGUAAUUCAGGUUUUUCUCUAUUUAUUUGUCAUAUAUUUCAUUGUACUACUGCUGUAAAGUUAACAAAUUUCAUGACGUAUGCCGGUGACGUUGAUUCUGAUUCUGAGUUUUAUACCCUUUUGUGUUGCCUCAAGAUAGUACAGACACAUGACAUAUUAUUUAAAGGCAGUUUAAACUCAGGUAAAUAUGCAACAAUGAUGUGCUCAAGCAGAAUUUAUCAUAAUUAUCAGUAAUGAGGUGAAGUUAAAGAACUGUAAUAAUUAUUGUAACUAUUGUGGUUUAAUAUACACUCAGUAGUUACUUUAUUUGGUAAACCUGUACACCUGCUCGCUAAUAGAAAUAUAUAAUCAGCCAAUCACAUGGUAGCAACUCAAUGCAUGCAGACUAGAGGGUCAGUUGUUGUUCAAAGCAUACAUCAGACUGGGGAAGAAAUGUGAUCUAAGUGACUUUAACUGCAGAAUGAUUGUUGGUGCCAGAUGGGUUGGUUUGAGUAUCUCAAAAGCUGCUGAUCUCCUGGGAUUUUCACACACAACAGUCUCUAGAGUUUACGGAGAAUGUUGCGAAAAGCAAAAGAUACCCAGUGAGCAGCAGUUCUGUAGGUGAAAAUGCCUUAUUAACGAGAAACGUCAGAGAAGAAUGGCUGACAGGAAAGCGACAGUAACUCCAUUAGCUAUGAGUUACAAUAGUGGUGUGCAGAAGAGCAUCUGUAAAGGUACAACAUGUCAAAGCUUGAGGUGGAUGGGCAGUAGACCAUAAACAUAGAGUACUGUGCAAAAGUCUUAAGCACCCUAGAUCUUUUAUAAUGGUAUCAGAUGGUAUGGCCGACACCUGAUCUCAACAUUAUCAAGGCUGUCUGGAAUUACCUUUAGAGACAGAAGCAAGUGAGACAGCUGAAGUCUGCAGAACUGUGGCAAGUUCUCCAAGAUGGUUGAAACCUACCAGCUGAUUUGCUUAUAAAACUGUAAGACAGUGUACUCAAGAGAACUGAUGCAGUUUUAAAAGCAAAGGGUGGUCACAAUGUAAUAAAGUUUAGUUUUUCACUGUUUACUGCUCUUUAUAGUAAUUUUUUUGAUAUUUACAAACUUUCUAUUUCAUAUUUUUGAAAGCAUCUUCGCUUUACAUAAUUUGUUACCUGUGUUUAAGACUUUUGCUCAGUACUGUAACUCAGUGGCCACUUUAUUAGGUACAGGAUGUACCUGAUAGUGUGGUCACUAACUGUAUUAGCUAUCUUCAUAAUGAGUUUGUAGUGUGAUUUAAGUGAAAGUGGUCAAUAACUUUCUUCAAAAGGAUCAAUCUCCAUACUUUAUAAUGAAAAUAAUACACCCAAAUUUUCAAAUUUUACCAACAAUCUCAAUAGGAAUCUUAAAAAUGCAUUGAUGUGGAAAUAUAUUUCUAAAUGCAAGCAAAGCUAAGACUGUGAGGAUCCAGGUUUCAUUGUGUGCAUUGAUACAGUACUCUAUUUUACAGAGGAAGCAAGUAAGCUGUUAUAGUUGCAUUCUGCUCCCUUUCAUUUGAAGGGCAUAAAGUUCAGCUGCCCUUCUCACUCUUGCUUGUUGCCACGUCACAACAGCUGGGAAAUGUGAUUGCUGAUAAAAACAAGACUGGACUCAGCGCGUAAGCACAAGGGCCCUUGUAAGCCAUAUAUCACCUGCAGCCAAUUCCAAGAUUCAUCCGGAUCACCGCCUAUCUUUUACAUCCAUCCUGUUUGUACCCAGUCCCUGCUGAUCCUUAAUAAAUGUUUAUUCUUGAACAACACCGAUGAAGGACUUUGUUCUAAUUGUUCUAAUUGUGUUGUUGCUUGUAAAAAUUGUGUCUACUUUAUGCUUUUCUUGUGAAUGCUGCUUAUAUGUUGCUAAGUGACAGUAAGAUUUUCAUUAUUCCUGUGCAUGCAUGCACUUGUGCAUUUGGCAAUAAACCCGACUUUGACUGACUUUUUGCUUUAUGUACUGUAACCUCUGUUUCCAGCUAUUUUCUUGCAAUAGACUGAUCCUGGAAUGCAUAGUAUUUGAAAAUAAAAUAAGCCACCUGUUGACUUUGA